rnacentral:rRNA from 1 species
UACGUAGGGUGCAAGCGUUAAUCGGAAUUACUGGGCGUAAAGCGUGCGCAGGCGGUUAUGCAAGACAGAGGUGAAAUCCCCGGGCUCAACCUGGGAACUGCCUUUGUGACUGCAUAGCUAGAGUACGGCAGAGGGGGAUGGGAUUCCGCGUGUAGCAGUGAAAUGCGUAGAUAUGCGGAGGAACACCGAUGGCGAAGGCAAUCCCCUGGGCCUGUACUGACGCUCAUGCACGAAAGCGUGGGGAGCAAACAGG